rnacentral:rRNA from 1 species
UACGGAGGGUGCAAGCGUUAUCCGGAUUCACUGGGUUUAAAGGGUGCGUAGGCGGGUCGGAAAGUCCGUUGUGAAAUCUCCGAGCUUAACUCGGAAAUUGCGGUGGAUACUAUUGUUCUUGAAUACUGUUGAGGUUAGCGGAAUAUGUCAUGUAGCGGUGAAAUGCAUAGAUAUGACAUAGAACACCAAUUGCGAAGGCAGCUGGCUAAACAGAUAUUGACGCUGAGGCACGAAAGCGUGGGGAUCAAACAGG